UACGUAGGGGCUAGCGUUAUCCGGAAUUACUGGGCGUAAAGGGUGCGUAGGCGGACUUUUAAGUGAGAUGUGAAAUACCCGGGCUCAACUUGGGUGCUGCAUUUCAAACUGGAAGUCUAGAGUGCAGGAGAGGAGAAUGGAAUUCCUAGUGUAGCGGUGAAAUGCGUAGAGAUUAGGAAGAACACCAGUGGCGAAGGCGAUUCUCUGGACUGUAACUGACGCUGAGGCUCGAAAGCGUGGGGAGCAAACAGGAUUAGAUACCCUGGUA
rnacentral:rRNA from 1 species